AUUGAACGCUGGCGGCAGGCUUAACACAUGCAAGUCGAGCGGGGAAAUAUAGCUUGCUAUAUGACCUAGCGGCGGACGGGUGAGUAAUGCUUAGGAAUCUGCCUAUUAGUGGGGGACAACAUUUUGAAAGGGAUGCUAAUACCGCAUACGCCCUACGGGGGAAAGCAGGGGAUCAUUUGACCUUGCGCUAAUAGAUGAGCCUAAGUCGGAUUAGCUAGUUGGUGGGGUAAAGGCCUACCAAGGCGACGAUCUGUAGCGGGUCUGAGAGGAUGAUCCGCCACACUGGGACUGAGACACGGCCCAGACUCCUACGGGAGGCAGCAGUGGGGAAUAUUGGACAAUGGGGGGAACCCUGAUCCAGCCAUGCCGCGUGUGUGAAGAAGGCCUUUUGGUUGUAAAGCACUUUAAGCGAGGAGGAGGCUCCUGUAGAUAAUACCUACAGUGAGUGGACGUUACUCGCAGAAUAAGCACCGGCUAACUCUGUGCCAGCAGCCGCGGUAACAC
rnacentral:rRNA from 1 species